AUGGAGGCAGACACACUGUUCCUAUGGGUGCUGCUGCUCUGGGUUCCAGGCUCUAAUGGUGACAUUGUGCUGACCCAGUCUCCAGCUUCUUUGGCUGUGUCUCUAGGGAAGACAGCGACCAUCUCCUGCAGGGCCAGUGAAAGUGUUUAUAGUGCUAUGAACUGGUACCAACAUAGACCAGGACAGCCACCCAAACUCCUCAUCUAUGGUGGAUCCAACCUAGAAUCUGGGGUUCCUGCCAGGUUCAGUGGCAGUGGGUCUGGGACAGACUACACCCUCACUAUCAAUCCUAUGGAGGCUGAUGAUGAUGGAGACUAUUUCUGUCAGCAAUAUUUGAAGCUUCCUCCCACAGUGCUCCAGGGCUGA